CUCUCUCCUUUUCUUCUCUGAUUUUCAUUUAAUCUCAAUUGCUUAAGCUAAUUCCCCACGCCCCCUUGUGGAGUCCUGCUCUGUUGUAGAUUAGGUAACGUUAUAGAUGGUCCCUGCUACACACCGUCUCUUUCCCUGGGACAAUCAGGGGCAACAUCUGGUGCGAUUUUACUGUCUGAAUGGAAUUUAGUCCUUAAUAUCAAAAUAAGGUAUGAGAAGAGUCCACUUAACUUAACAGAGCGUAGGUCGUCAAGUCAAAGGUCAUCAGGGCAAUGCUGCAGUAGGAGAGAGUUAUAACUAAACAGAGCAUAGGUCGUCAGGUCAAAAGUCAUCAGGUCAAAGGUCGUCAGGUAAAUGCUGUGCUAGGAGAGAGUUAUAACUGAACAGAUUGUAGGUUGUCAGGUCAACGGCAUCAGAUCAUAGGUCGUCAGGUUGAUAGUGUGGUCGGAGAGAGUUAUGACUGAACAGAGCAUAGGUCGUCAGGUCAAUGGCAUCAGAUCAUAGGUCGUCAGGUUGAUAGUGUGGUAGGAGAGAGUUAUAACUGAACAGAGCGUAGGUUGUCAGGUCAAUGGCAUCAGAUCAUAGGUCGUCAGGUUGAUAGUGUGGUAGGAGAGAGUUAUAACUGAACAGAGCGUAGGUUGUCAGGUCAAUGGCAUCAGAUCAUAGGUCGUCAGGUUGAUAGUUUGGUAGGAGAGAGUUAUGACUGAACAGAGCGUAGGUCGUCAGGUUAAAGGUCGUCAGGUCAAUACUGUGGUAGGAGAGAGUUAUAAC